rnacentral:misc_RNA from 1 species
GUUUUGGUACUCAGGCAGUGUCUAUAGAAACAUAAUACACCAACUUAAAUUAAUAAAUCUACUAUAAACCAGCCCAACUCUAUAAGCUUGAUAACUAGUACCCCGCGAAUUAGAGAUUCUCAGCAGAGAUUUAGUACUGAAAACUAAAUGAAAAAUGCCAGAAAAGUACUCUAAUACUAUAUGUAGUAUAUAUUUAGAUAUGCUUAUAAGCAAAAGACCAACUGAAAAGCAAUGCCACAGUGAUUGAUCAGAGCACUGCUUAACGAGUAAAACGCGGACGCACAGGAGUCUUUGAUGGGCUUACCCUUAUGGGAAGUGAUCCCAGGAAUGCACCACUGCAGUUCAGUGCUAUAAUUGCGCUCUCUGCCAUGACAAACUCAACAAAAGCGAUACGAGUCGAAUGAUGAUAGUCACCAAGCAACCUCAAGCGAUGAACCUCUCCACAUAAGGACUCAAAAAACAGCUUGACAUCUGCUUGAGUAAUCUUCUUAUCAAUAUUUGUACAGUACACAGUUCUAGCACACAUCUCUCUUUCAUCUUCAGACCUAGGAAGAAAGGUUGGAUUAACCGGUGCAAUCGCAGUUUUAGAAGGAAGCACUCUCACAGGAUAACCCCCAAGGAUAGUUCCUGCAAGACUCAGAGCACUCCUUGCGCCUUCUUCAUCAGUAAACUCAAUAAAUGCAAAACGGAGUACAGAAUUGGGAUCUCCACAGAUACGACAGUCAACCACCUGCCCGCAG